GACGAACCGUGCGAACGUUAUUCGGAAUCACUGGGCUUAAAGGGCGCGUAGGCGGGCGGCCAAGUCAGGGGUGAAAGCCCCCAGCUCAACUGGGGAAGUGCCUCUGAUACUGGUCGCCUCGAGGGAGAUAGGGGCGUGCGGAACUUCCGGUGGAGCGGUGAAAUGCGUAGAUAUCGGAAGGAACACCGGUGGCGAAAGCGGCGCGCUGGAUCUCUUCUGACGCUGAGGCGCGAAAGCUAGGGGAGCAAACAGG
rnacentral:rRNA from 1 species